GUCGAGAGGCUUUGGCAAUGGGGGAAACCCUGACCAAGCGACGCCGCGUGGGUGAUGAAGGCCUUCGGGUCGUAAAGCCCUGUCAUGCGGGGAGAAACGCUGAUGUUCGAAUAGGGCAUCAGUUUGACGGUACCGCAAGAGGAAGCUCCGGCUAACUCCGUGCCAGCAGCCGCGGUAAUACGGGGGGAGCGAGCGUUGUUCGGAAUUACUGGGCGUAAAGGGCGUGUAGGCGGCCAAACAUGUGGGGCGUGAAAUACUCUGGCUCAACCAGAGAACUGCGUUCCAAACGGUUUGGCUUGAGUACAGGAGAGGAGAUUAGAAUUCCCGGUGUAGCGGUGAAAUGCGUAGAUAUCGGGAGGAAUACCAGUGGCGAAGGCGGAUCUCUGGCCUGAUACUGACGCUGAGGCGCGAAAGCUAGGGGAGCGAACGGGAUUAGAAACCCGGGUAGUCC
rnacentral:rRNA from 1 species